GACGAACGCUGGCGGCGUGCUUAACACAUGCAAGUCGAACGAAGUGGCGAACGGGUGAGUAACGCGUAAUCAACCUGCCCUUCAGAGGGGGACAACAGUUGGAAACGACUGCUAAUACCGCAUACUGAAGGAGGGGAUUGCGUCGGAUUAGCUAGUUGGAGGGGUAACGGCCCACCAAGGGGAUGAUCAGUAGCCGGUCGGAGAGGAUAAUCAGUCACAUUGGAACGGAGACACGGUCCAAGCUCCUACGGGAGGCAGCAGUAGGGUAUAUUGCGCAAUGGGCGAAACUCUGACGCAGCAACGCCGCGUGGAGGAUGACACGUUUCGGAGCUUAAACUCCUUUUGUUAGGGAAGCGGUACCUAACGAAUAAGCACCGGCUAACUCCGUGCCAGCAGCCGCGGUAAUUC
rnacentral:rRNA from 1 species